GACGAACGCUGGCGGCGUGCUUAACACAUGCAAGUCGAACGGAAAGGCCCUGCUUUUGUGGGGUGCUCGAGUGGCGAACGGGUGAGUAACACGUGAGUAACCUGCCCUUGACUUUGGGAUAACUUCAGGAAACUGGGGCUAAUACCGGAUAGGAGCUCCUGCUGCAUGGUGGGGGUUGGAAAGUUUCGGCGGUUGGGGAUGGACUCGCGGCUUAUCAGCUUGUUGGUGGGGUAGUGGCUUACCAAGGCUUUGACGGGUAGCCGGCCUGAGUGGGUGACCGGCCACAUUGGGACUGAGAGACGGCCCAGACUCCUACGGGAGGCAGCAGUGGGAAAUAUUGCACAAUGGGCGGAAGCCUGAUGCAGCAACGCCGCGUGCGGGAUGACGGCCUUCGGGUUGUAAACCGCUUUCGCCUGUGACGAAGCGUGAGUGACGGUAAUGGGUAAAGAAGCACCGGCUAACUACGUG
rnacentral:rRNA from 1 species